CCACCUGGUGCUCCGCCGGCAGCCGCUCCCUGAACCUGAGGAGCUACACGCCCUCCGUCGAUGGUGUCGAUGUCGCCCUCGGCGGCGGACGGAGGGGGCGAUGGGGACGAGGAGUUGACGGCGAAGUCAUCUCUAGCAGCUCUACCUCGAGGGCAACGCGCUCGCCGGUGGCCUCGAGUUCCUGGAGGCACUGGUGAUCCGCGACAUGGGGCGGAUCGGGGUUGCCGUCCCGAGCACCCUCUCGCGGCUCACGCGCCUCAAGCAGGCUACCUCGAGGGCAACGCGCUCGCCGGCGGCGUACCCGGGAAGGUGUUGUCUAGGAUGAGCUCCCUCUGCUACCCCUCGCUCGCCGGCAACCGGCUGGAGGGCACGCUGCCGCCGGAGCUCGGGGACGUUCGCG
rnacentral:lncRNA from 1 species